AAACUCUUCUGAACCCUCUCCAGCUUAAUAAUAUCAAGGUCAAUAAUAUCAAAGUGAAUAGUCAAUGUAUUUUGUUAGGCUAAUGGAGACCAUAUCUAGAGGACAUAGUUGUAAGGUAAGAGGGGAAACAUUUAAAAGUGAUCUAAGGGCAGCUGUUUCACCCAGAGGGUGGUGUGCCUAUGGAAUGAGCGGGCAGGAUGUCCAGACUGGACACAGUAUUCCGGGAGAGGUCUCACCAAUGUCCUGUACAACCUCAACAUGACGUCCCAAUUCCGAUACUCAGUGGUCUGACCAUUGAAGACAAGUGUGUUAAACACCUUCUUAAUCACAUUAUCUAUAUGAGAUGCAACUUUUAAAGAAUUAUACCUGACGGCCGAGGUCUCUGUUCUGCAACACUGCCAAAGGCCCUACGUUUAAUUGUAUAAGUCCUACUAUUGUUGAUUUACCAAAUCCAAUACCUCACAUUAAUCCAAACUAAACUCCAUCUGCCACGCCUCGGCCAGUGAGUGAGAUUACCACCUCCUCACCUUCUCCGUUUAAUUUUAAAAUGCCCAUCCCUCUCCAGGAGGCCUGCACACUCCGGCCUUGAUUUUCACAAAGACCCUGAGCUUGGUUUGCCUUGUGUGGUUAGAGGGAGGAGGGACAGAUUGCAGACACAGUCAGUGGGGAGGAGAGGCUGGACAGUAAUCAACGGCCUGGUUUCAUUUCAUGGUUUUAGGCAGAGGGCAGACACACGUAAGAGUUGGGUUAUACUGAUCGGUGUUUUGGGACCAGAAAUUAUGGUCUUUCUCCGUGUCUGGUGUUCAGUAAUAAAUAUCUAUUUGAGACCCUUCAUUGGGCAGAUUUUGAAGAGGCCUAAGGGGCAACUUUUCACACAGAGGGUGGUGUGUGUGUGGAAUGAGCUGCCAGAGGAAGUGGUGGAGGCUGGUACAACGCCAUCAUGUAAAAGGCAUCUGGAUGCUGACAGACCUGCCGAGCAUUUCCAGCAAUUUCUGUAUUUGUUGAAACAAAACAUUCAUUUUAACACAGGUAUCUGUGUUAGCUGUCUGGAUACAGAAUUGGCUGGCCAGCAGAAGACAGCGAGUGGUAGUGGAAGGAAAAUAUUCUGCCUGGAAGUCUGUGGGACAUAUAAACAUAUCUUCAAAGCGACCGAGACCAUUUCCUGCUCAGGGUAUGGCUCUGUGUAUGACAGCAGCAAUGAUGCACCGACAUGGAACAGGGAAUGUGAUGGAGACAUAGUUUGGACAAUGUACAAGGAGACCUCACAUGGUCCAGUUUGGGAGAGAAUGACAUUAUUGUGUGAUUCAGCUCAGAGAGGGAGAAAAUGUCACCUGCCAGAGAAGAAACGGCCUCUUGCACUCUCUCCUUCAUUAUUCCUCAUCACAGUAACGUGUGCGAGCUAAAACAAAACUCUACUGUCAUCGUUACCAAUCUUAUUUUUAUAGAAUCCCAGCAGUGUGGAAACAAGCCCUUCGGCCCAACAAGUCCAUACUAACCCUCCAAUCAGUAACCUUCCCAUGCCCUUACAGUUACCACUGACUAGUGCACCUAAAGUAGAAAUCGCUGAACACUAUGGACUAUUUGACCAAUCCACUUGAAUUAUACAGCUUUGGGCUGUGGGAGGAAAUGGGAGCACCCAUCAGAAGCUCACACAGACAAGGGGAGAAGAUGCAAACUCCACGCAGAUAGUCUCCCGAGGCUGGAAUUGAACACAUGUCCCUGAUGCUGUGAUGGAACAGUGCGAACUACUGAGCCACUGUGCUAACCUGGGACAUCCUGCCAGCCUAAUGCAAAGGGAAUUCCGCCAAAUCCAACUCUCCCAGGAUAAAAUCCCAUUGCUAGCAGCUGUGUGAGUACAAUAUCUUCAGAAGCAGAGUAACAUUUUGGACAAUCUCUCAAUUUUUCCUUUUGUCAUUAGUUACACUAAUAUUUGGACAAGGUUCUUUCAAUGUGAAAUUGCAGAGAUUGUGUGUGUGUGUGUGUGUGUGUGUGUGUGUGUGUGUGUGUCAGUGUUUUUAGAAAGGGAAAUAUUGAUUAUGUAUUUGCAAUACCCAAACAGUUUGCCAUCCAUUUUUCCAUCAUAGUUGGAGUAACAUUGCUCUGGAUCAUAAACGUGCUAUUUCAGCAGAUUACAGAAACCAGCCUGACUUGUUCCUAAAACUGACCCUGACCCAGUCUGAGACCGAUAUCAUCGGCCACAUCACCAACCUGGUUACAUUUAACAUUUGUUGUGAGCAGUGGAGGAGUGGGACUAGAAAAGGAAACAGUGACCCAAAAAGCCGGGGAACUGUAGACCGGUGAGCCUGAUGUCAGUGGUGGGUAAGUUGUUGGAGGGGAUUCUGAGGGAUAGCAUUUACAUACAUUUGGGAAGGUAAGGGCUGAUCGGGGUAGGAAACGUGGCUUUCUGCAUGGGAAAUCAUGUCUCAUUAAUUUGAUUGAGUUUUAUGAAGAGGUGACAAAGAAGAUUGAUGAUGGCAGUUUGGUAGACAUUGUCAAUAUGGACCUCAGCAAGGUGUUCACAACAUUCUGAUUGGUAGGCAGAUUAGUAAGGUUCGGUCACAUGGGAUAGAGAGGAAGCUCGUCACAAUUGGCUUGAAGGAAGAGGGAUAUUUUUCAGACUGGAGGCUUGUGAGCAGCAGUGUGCUGUAAGAAUCAGUAUUGAGUUCACAAAACAUUUCAUCAUUUAUGUAAAGGAUUUAGAUGUGGAUAUUGGGACCAUAGUUAGUAAGUUUACAGACAACAUCAGAAAGGUGGUGUAGUAGAUUAUCUCAGAGUACAACGAGACCACAAAUAGAUGGGACAAAGGGGCAAGGAGUGACAGAUGAAGUUUAAUUUAGAUAAAUACGAAGUUAAGCAUUUUGGGAAGGUAGAUCAGGGCAGGAAUUACAUACUUAAUGGUAAGGGCCUGGUGAGUGUUGUGAAACAAAUGGACAUAGAGCUGCAGGUACAUUGUUCCUUGAAAGUGGAGUCGAAUGCAGACAGUGUGGUACAGAACAAAUUUUACAAAUUUGCCUUAAUCAGUCAGAGCAUUGAGUAUAGGAGUUGUGGUGGCAAGUUGCAUCUGUACAGGAUGUUGGUGAGGCCACUUUAAGAAUACUGCAUCCAACUCGGUUUUCUGCAGAAAAGAUUUACACGGAUGUCCCAGGACUGGAGGUUUGAGCUUUAGGGAGAGGUUGAUUAGUUUGAGGUGUUUCCCCUGGAGUGUCAGAGGCUGAAGGGUGACAUUAUAGAGGUUUAUAAAAUCAUCAGGGGCAUGGAUAUUCUGAACAGCCAUGUUCUGCUCCCCAGGGUAGGGGAGUCCUGAACAAGAGAGCAUAGGUUGGAGGGGAGAGGACGAAUGAUUUAGAAGGGACGUGAAGAUAAAUGUUUCACACAGAGUGGUGUGUGUACAUAAAGUGCUGUCAGAGGAAGUGGUGAAGGCGGUUACAAUCACACAUUUAAAAAAGUAUCUGAAAGAGGAGGGAUAUUGGCCAAAUGCUGGGAAAUGGGACUGGAUCAGAUUUGAAAUCUGAUCGGAGUGAACAGAUUGGACUAACGGGUCUGUUUCCGUUCUGCAAGAUUCUCUGAUUCUAUAAGAGGGAUGACGAAAAAUUCUGGAAGUACCUUUCAAAUCCGAAUCCUCUUCACUGGAAGUUUAUCUUGCCGCUAUGUUCAUAUUGAUUGAAAGCUGCGUUCGUGAAAUAUUUGACAGAGAACUGAGUCAUGGGUAAUGGGGCGCGGACAGGAAAGUGGGGCUGAGACCACAACCUGAUCAGCCAUAAUCUUAGUGCCUGGUGGAGAAGGUUCAACGUAUCUAAUGACUCACUCCUGUCCCUCAAUCCCGUGUUCCUGUGUUCCAUUCAGACCAUUAAACCUGUUAGGCAGGAGCAUUUAGGGGCUACUUACUUCUAUAACCUGGUGCACAGAAACAGAGGAGAUCAUUCGGCCCUUCAAUAUUGUCCCACAUGCUUUGAGUGAUUUGAGAAAUGUAAUUGUAAAACCCAGGCUGGGUAUGAAAGAGGCCCCUCAUCUCUCUUUAUAGAGAUUCCCCUCUCUGAAACUUGUGCUCCGUUCGUUGGUCAUGUUGUAGACCCAAAUUCACUAUGAAUACAGCCCCCAUACCUCACCCAGCGAUGGCUCACAAAAUCCUCUUGUCUCUCUGACGGCAACAUUCAAUAACAGAACAUUCAUGAAAAUAACACCCACUAACUUUCCAAUAACAGAAUGUGUGAACAUCAGACACAGGGGCAGGUCGUUCACUCCCCAAGCCUUCCUUCUCCUCCACUAAGAUCAUGGCUGAUCUGCUCUUGGUCUCAAAUCCUCUUUCGCAUCCAAUUCUUCAUUGCCCUCAACUCUCUGACAGGACACAUGGGUUCAGAUAAAAAUAACUGACCCUGAUAUCAAGGCUUCUGUUGACUUCUGUUGACAUCAAGGAUCUUAACAAAUCUGAACUUAAUGGGAAUCGGAGAAAACUCUACAGUAUUUGGAGUCAAACAUGGCACAAAGGAAGAUGUUCAUCAGCUCAGUCCUGGGUCACCUCUGUGGGAGAUCCUCAGGGUAGCUUCCUCUUCACAAACACCUUCAGCUGCUUCAUCAAUGUCUCCCCACCCUCACCCUCCUCACCAUAAGAUCCGAAGUGGGGAUGGUCAAUGCGGAUUCCACAAUGUUCAGAAUAAUUUGACGCCCCCGUCAGCUCCUGAACUGGAUUGUGUCCAUGUGAAGCAAGACAUGGACACCAUUGAGGCUUGUGCUUUUAAAGAGUCCAUAACAGUCAUAUAAAGGACUGUCUGACAAUGCAUAUUGCCACAGUAAAAUAAGAGUUCAUUCCGCACCUCACACUGGUUUCACAGGAAUAUGAGGAAGUCGUUCAGCCCAUUGACACUAUUGGAGAAGCGCAGGGACAGCCCAUUCAGUGCCUCCAAAAUAUUACUCAGGAAGAGAAGGAUUCUAGUGUGAUGGGCCACACCAGAGCCCCUCGACAAUAUUUGAAGGCGGUAGCUGAGACUCUAAUGUUUCCUAAUUUCAAAGAAAAUGUAAAUUGUCUAUUCCAGAUGCAAUGUGAGUGGUCAAACUACUUGGUGUGAAGCAAAACACCAUUUACUUAAACAUGAUAGAUGAAAUAAAACCAAAGAAAGAAGAAUUUAGAGUAACGUAUUUAUAUUAGACAAGUUAACAGAAUAAUAGAUCUAGGAACUAAUACUAAUGACCGUUCUAAUACUGGAAAUCAUAUGAACACAGCCCUUGGCAAAAAGGGAUAUUCAGACACUGAUUGACACAAAUAUUUCUCCAAUUCAGGAUUUCAAAACAGCACCAAGAGAAAAUCCAUACAGAGUAGCUGCCAGGAGACAUUCACUAAAGUUUUCAACUCAGUGGAGACCCCAAUAAUUUCUGAUGUUACUGAGAAACCAAAACCCAGAAAUCCUAAUUUGUUAGAGCUGACCACACCCAUUCCAUCUGCAGUAAAAUAAACCUAAGGCCUCACUAGUUAUUUACUCAAGUGGUCUUAACUAGCCAGCUGGGUAACAGUCAUUCAAUCUUUCUCUUAAAAGAAACCAGAACAAAAUAACCUCUUAAAGCUACAGCAUCAUCACACUAGUCAGCACAUCGAGCUGUCAUACAGGAACUAGCGGUAACCAGUCAGGCCCUUGGCCCUGUCCAAUCGGACGAGGAAGAAGCCAGUCAGUCCCUUGAGUCACUUAUUCAGGAACAGUAGGAGGCCAUUCCCACCUCAAUGCACUUACACAGGGGCAGAAUGAGGUAAUUGAUGCUGAUUCCUGAUGAAUGGCUUAUGCUCGAAACAUCGAUUCUCCUGCUGUGCUUUUCCAGCAAACCACUGUCUACUCUGAUCUUCAGCAUCAACAAUCCUCGCUAUCUCCUAAUUGAUGCUCUAACAUGGUGAACAAGUGGAGCAGAGGCUGCACAGACAGACUGCUCCACGUUGUUCUUCUUAGCUCCGUCUGUCAUGAUACACACGUGGGACUUUAACGCGGUUUUCUAGUGGUGAGGAGGGAAGCCAGAUGUCUUGUGUGAAGUCACAAGAAGGCACCUUCCAUCUCCGAGAAGCCAGCCUGGUGUUCUCUAUGUAGGGUGGAAGCUGGUGGGAAUGGCUACCUGUUUCAGAUGGAAGGUAUUGUGGCUGCUGUUGGGGAUUGUGAGUAACCUGACGUUCAGUACGGGUUCACACGCCAACUGCAAAAUAAUGUGGGGAGAGUUAAUUUAGGCAAAUAAACUAUUAGGAAAGUCACGUUAGACUGAUGGAUGGACUCUCUAAGUUCAAAUAAUGCUGAUCUUGUUCAUGUCGAUCUUGUCUCGUGCACGUCCUGUUCAGUGUAACCUGUAUGCCUUACUCUGUCCAAGUCUAUUUCCACCGCAUGAUCUGUCUGGCCAUGUUUACUAUGAUCUGCCUCCACUGCUCAUAAAUAAAGUGUUUCCCUGUACUGAGGUACACGUGGCAAUAAAUCACACCAAUUAAUCCUGGGUAAAGUAUGGAAUUUCUCACCCUAUCAAUGUCUCUUUUGGAAAUAAGUGAUCGCUGCCACUACUCAAGUUUAACGUCACCAUUUCAUCUUCUCUCACAACUCUACUGAUUAAACACUCAGCUUCUUCACUCUAUCCUCGUGAUACCAUCAUCCGUGUCUGUGGUAAGGAGAUCAUUCCUUACAAAGGAGAUCAAAUCCGUAGAGAGUGUCUCAACCACGCUCUCAGCAAGGCCCUACAACAGCAGGAAGAUGGCAUUACUUAUGUACUUGAAUCAUCUUACAAUGAAGGACAGCAUACCAUUGACUGCACCCAUUACUUACACAGGGUUUGAUUCGGAGCAGUCAGCAUAGACUUGUGAGUGGGAGAUCAUGCUUCCCAAAUUAUUAGAGUUCGUUGAUGAAGUGACCAGGAAGGUUGAUGAGGGCCGAGCAGUAACCAUAGUCUCUAUGGAUAUCAGUAAGGCCUUUGAUAAGGUUCCACAUGGCAGGCUGCUCGGGAGUAUUACAUCACGUGGAAUGCUGGGGAACUGGCCAAUUGGAUACACAGUUGGCUUGACGGUAGGAAGCAGAGGGUUUAGUGGAAGGAUGCUUGUCAGACUGGAGGCUGGGUCCAUGGCUGUGUGUUAUCUAUGAUUUGGUUGAGAAUGUACAAGGUAUGAUUAGUAAGUUUACAGAUGGCACUAAAAUAAAUGGGAGCAUGAUCAGUGAGGAAGUUUAUCAGAAAUUGCAGCAGGACCUUAAUCAGGCGGGGAAGUGGGCCGAGAAAUGGCAAAUGGAAUUUAAUAUAGAUGCGUGAUGACUUGCAUUUUGGAAACUCAACUCAAGGUAGGAGUUGCACGGUGAAUGGGAGGGCCUUAAGGGGUGUAGUGGGCAGAGAGAUCUUGGUAUGUAGGUGCACGGUUCUCUGAGAGUGGAGUCACAUGUAGACAGGGCAGUGAAGAAGGCAUCUGGCACACUGACCUUCAUCAGGCCGGACAUUGAGUAUGGAAGUUGGGAAUUUAUGUUGCAGUUAUACAGGACUUUGGUAAGGCCACACUUGGAGUAUUGUGUUCAGGUUUUGUCACUUAGGGAGCACGUGUCUAUCUCCUCAGGAACUCAUUACGGUACCUUGCUGUGGCAACCAACAGGGUACACUUCGUUGUUCAGUACUUCCCAGGAGCUGAAAAAUUAUGCCAUGUUCUUCGUGACCUGCAACACAUUAUCAACGAGGAUGAGCACCUCCACUGCUUGCCUUUAAACAACCACCAAACCUCAAACAGAUCACAUGUUCAUAGCAAGCUGCCCAGCUUUCAGGACAGCGCCAUACAACCCUGUCACGGUAGGCGCUGCAAGACGUGUCAGAGUGUGGACAUGGGUAUUACCAUUACAUGUGAGGACACUUCCCACCAUGUACGUGGCAGGUACUCAUGUGACUCAGCCAACAUUGUCUAUCUUAUACGUUGCAGGCAAGGGUGCCUGGAGGCAUGGUACAUUGUGGAAACCGAGCAAAUGCUACGGCAACAGAUGAAUGGGCACCACAUAACAAUCAACAGACGGAAGUGUUGCCUCCCAGUUGGGGACACUUCUACGGUACAGGACAUUCGACCUCGGACCUUCGGGUGACAAUCCUCCAAGGCAGACUUCAGGACAGGCAACAGCGAAAAGUGGCCAAACAGGGGCUGAUAGCUAAGUUCUGUACCCAAAGGGAGGGCCUCAACCGGGCCCUUCAGUUCAUGUCAUACUACCGGUGACCACCAUUGCACUAUAUACACACACAGCCACACUUACACACACACACACCCAGAGUCACUCCUAUACACACACAUACACACGGACACACUUUUACACAGACACGCACACAGACUCUCACGCACACCCUUACAGACACACACACUCCCACACUCACACAUGCAUCCUCUCAGAGACUUAGACCACUCUACACUCAUGCAGGCACAUAUACCCUCUCUCUCACAGACAAUCGCAAACCCCCACCCCAGACACAUACACACUUCCACACUCACACAUGCACACCCUCACAGAAUUAAGACACUCUGCAAUCACUACACACACAUAUACACUCUCUCUCUCACACUCACAACCCCCAAGCCAGACAGACAUACACACAAACAGACACAAAGACCCACAUGCGCCCAUACAUUUUGUGGGCUAAAUUUUACUUGCAGAGUUACAUUGUACUUUGCUCAAAAACUGCAUGAAUACAGUAAAACUAUGUUAUCUGACUUUUUAGGUUAGAAUCGAUCUAAAAUCAUGGCAUAGACAGAGAACACAGGGUGCUAACACCUUCGACAUAUUGUGUAACUAACCUAAUUGUUACAGUUAACCUGAGAAUGCAACUUUUAACAAAAGGUUUUUUUGAUUUACACACGGAAGAAGCUAAACUAUCAUGGUAUUCGAACAGAUGAAAGACUCAACAGAAAAUCAAGGUGAUUUUCAAUAUGUAGUUUCAGUUACAUCAUACUGUAAUGUUUUGCUAUAAAUGCUGUGCCUUACAAUUUUGUCCCCCACAAUCACCUGAAGAAGGUGCGGUUCUCUGAAAGCUAAUGUGCUUCCAAUUAAACCUGUUGGGCUAUAA